rnacentral:rRNA from 1 species
UACGGGGGGGGGCAAGCGUUGUUCGGAAUUACUGGGCGUAAAGGGUUCGUAGGUGGCCAACUAAGUCAGACGUGAAAUCCCUCAGCUUAACUGGGGAACUGCGUCUGAUACUGGAGGGCUUGAGUGCGGGAGAGGGAUGUGGAAUUCCAGGUGUAGCGGUGAAAUGCGUAGAUAUCUGGAGGAACACCGGUGGCGAAGGCGGCAUCCUGGACCGACACUGACGCUGAGGCGCGAAAGCUGAGGGUAGCAAAACGGGG